rnacentral:rRNA from 1 species
AGUGAACGCUGGCUGUAGGCCUAACACAUGCAAGUCGAACGGCAGCACAGUAAGAGCUUGCUCUUACGGGUGGCGAGUGGCGGACGGGUGAGGAAUACAUCGGAAUCUACUUUUUCGUGGGGAUAACGUAGGGAAACUUACGCUAAUACCGCAUACGACCUACGGGUGAAAGCAGGGGAUCUUCGGACCUUGCGCGAUUGAAUGAGCCGAUGUCGGAUUAGCUAGUUGGCGGGGUAAAGGCCCACCAAGGCGACGAUCCGUAGCUGGUCUGAGAGGAUGAUCAGCCACACUGGAACUGAGACACGGUCCAGACUCCUACGGGAGGCAGCAGUGGGGAAUAUUGGACAAUGGGCGCAAGCCUGAUCCAGCCAUACCGCGUGGGUGAAGAAGGCCUUCGGGUUGUAAGGCCCUUUUGUUGGGAAAGAAAAGCAGCAGGUUAAUACCCCGCUGUUCUGACGGUACCCAAAGAAUAAGCACCGGCUAACUUCGUG